GAGGCUCCACCAGGAUUUCAAAGUAUAUAUAUAUAUUUUUUAAUUUUGCUUAAUGGUUAAUUUGUUGUUGUUUUGAAGUUGUAUUUUUAUGAAUGCAUUGUGUUCUUUUGUACAGGAUUACUAACUAGGUUCUUGUUCAUUUUUUUUUCCUUUCCGAAUUAUUGCUAAGUCGGUAAUGUUCAAUGGUUUAGACCACCAAUCAUGGAUAUGACUUUGGUACACAGUACAUCAAUGAAAGAGAGAAUCAGUUUAUGUCUGUUGAUAAACCUAUAAGGUAUCUUGUGGCUUUUCAAUUGUAUAUGCUUAUGAAGGAAACUCUAAAGAAUAAAGGGAUGACUAGGGGAGUUAAGAUGAACUGGAUAAUUUUCUGACAUUGAGGUUACUAGUUGUCCAAGGUGUAAUGUCCGAGUUUGGGAAUAUAGUUGUUGCAAUAGAUAAGCAUGAAAUAGUGGAUAUCCAUGUGAGGUUACUGGAUUUCAUUUUAAAUGAAUUGCUGUUUUUUAUUUGUUUUCCAUUUUUGGUUACUCUUUCUCACUUUGGGGAAGAGAAGAGUAUUGGAUAAAAUGGACACAUUUUAAAUGAUAGGUUUUCUUUAUUAUCUAAGAGUUAGUGGUGGAUUUAUAAACUUUAAGAGAAAUAUCAGUUAUCAGCCAAAAUGAGUUGUUAAUCUAGAAAAUUAAUAGGAUAAUGAUUAUAUAUCACACAAACAUUGGAAAAUUUCUAUGCCAACUUAAUAAUAAAAGGAGAUCAUUCUCCUUCAGGACUUCUGAUAUUGGAAACCUCCUAGGUUUCUUAAGGCCAACAUGGUUUUGGAAGUCCAACAUUCUGUUAACAUUCUCCUAGGACUUAGCAAUAAUAUUUCAAUCUUAGGGCCCUAUCUUUGCAUCUAAGGUUUAGCAGUAGCUGAUUGCACCUUUUGCUUUUUCAUGAGUGACUAAUCAUCAGCAUAUUUAAAUUUCCCCAUCUGUUUUGUUGUCUCUCAGAAUGUCUGCAACGAUACUAAGAUAUCUCUUGUUAAUUAGAUGAAUGAAAAUGUAGGGUUGUGUGGACUAAAGCAUGUCUGUACAUGUGCUUACGAUAGAGUCUACAUUUUAACUAUUUUGCUUCGUUACAGUGUCAUAAUGGGCACACACUUUGUUCCACCUGUAAAACAAGGGUACACAAU
rnacentral:misc_RNA from 1 species